CCCUCCAAUCAUUGUCAUCUUUGUUCUCGCUCGAACUUUCUUCAUCCUCAGCUCCACGUUCUCUCACCUUCACCGAAGCAAUUCCAGUUAUCAUCGCCGCAUCUAGGUCUCCGAGCAAGCUCCACUCGUCCAACCUCCCCGCCAGAUGAUCGCCUCCAUCGCUACCCCGAUGGGCCGCGCCACCACUACAACCCCCGGUGCCCAGUCCCGGUGGCCGUGUGCCGUUGCGCAGCUCCACCUGGCUCUCCGCUCGCCAGCCGCGCGGAGUGGUAGCAGCGGGCACUGGAUGGGAUGCUUCAGGCCGGCGCCGGUGCCCGCGCCGUCGUCACCAGCGGUUACGGUGGCGGUGAACGAGGGGAGGGGGAAGCGGCCGGAGGCAACGGAGGUGGAUAUGGAGCCGGCACGCGGCGGAGGGGAGGACUUAUGGAGCGUUCAGGCCGAGGCGGAGGUAGCGCAGGGCGGGGAGUACCCGGAGCACCUUGUCAUCAUGGUCAAUGGCCUCGUGGGGAGUGCGGAUGACUGGAAGUUUGCAGCUGAUCAGUUUGUGAGGCGGAUGCCAGACAAAGUGAUCAUCCACCGGAGUCAAUGCAACUCUGCUACACAGACAUUUGACGGAGUUGACUUGAUGGGAGAAAGGUUAGCAAACGAGGUUCUAUCAGUUGUCGAGCAAAGAAGAGGUGUGAAGAAGAUCUCAAUUGUGGCGCACUCUCUGGGUGGUCUUGUUGCCAGAUAUGCUAUAGGAAGGCUUUACGAAUGUAGUAACAGAACUAAAUGUUCCAUUGGGAACAACAGAGAGCAAGUUGAAUGCUUGGAGGGUCUCAUUGCCGGCUUAAAACCUAUGAACUUUAUAACCUUUGCAUCACCACAUCUGGGUUCAAGUGGAAACAAACAGCUCCCCUUUCUAUGUGGCUUGCAUUUUCUGGAGCGAAGAGCAUCAGAAACUGCACAUUUGAUUGUUGGAAGAACUGGAAAGCAUUUAUUCCUUACAGACAGUGAUGAUGGUAGGCGUCCACUCCUUCUUCAAAUGGUUCAGGAUCAUGAUGAUAUAAAAUUCAGAUCCGGAUUGCGCUCUUUCAAACGACGUGUGGCAUAUGCGAAUGCCAAUUUUGACCGUAUCCUUUUAACUGAUGAAAUUUCAACUCUGAAAAGAUAUGGUGGGUUGGAGAACAUCGUCAAUCCGGCGUCAACACGAGUUGCCAAAACAUCGCCUUCUUGUUCGUGAUGAGAAGUAUCCACAUAUAGUCCAUGUUGAUAGAGGAAUUAUGGACAGAAAUGAAACCGAAGUGAGUGCUAAUCUCUGUGGCCCAGAAGAGGAGAUGAUAAGAGGCCUAACACAACUGCAGUGGGAACGUGUUGAUGUGAGCUUCCAGAAAAGUAGUCAAAGAUUGGUUGCGCAUAACACCAUCCAGGUAAAGAGCUAUUGGCUUAACUCAGAUGGGGCAGACGUUAUCAGUCACAUGAUGGAUAAUUUCCUCGUCUAGUUCAUGAACUCCACAGGGUGCACUGUGCCAAUAUUCGUGUCUGAGUUUGGUUACAAGUGAUAGUUCAAUUUUGGGUAGGCGGUUUGACCUUGUAGGUUGUACAAUUUUCAUUCUACACUGAGAUAUCAAAAUUGAUUCUUUAGGUUUCUUGUGCUGCAGAUGUUAGACUACAACUUUUUUCUUUUAUCCACAAUCCGCCUCUACCAUUUUAUUGUAUAGUGAAGUUGAACACUAUUGUGUGCUACUUCCUCCAUUCCAAAUUAAUAGAAGUUCUAGCUUUGUCUUA